rnacentral:rRNA from 1 species
UACAGAGGUCUCAAGCGUUGUUCGGAUUCAUUGGGCGUAAAGGGCGUGUAGGCGGCGCCGUAAGUCGGGCGUGAAAUUUCGGAGCUUAACUCCGAAACUGCAUUCGAUACUGCGGUGCUUGAGGACUGGAGAGGAGACUGGAAUUCAUGGUGUAGCAGUGAAAUGCGUAGAGAUCAUGAGGAAGACCAGUGGCGAAGGCGGGUCUCUGGACAGUUACUGACACUGAGACACGAAGGCCAGGGGAGCAAACGGG